AAUGGGUCAGCGACUUAUAUUCUGUAGCAAGGUUAACCGAAUAGGGGAGCCGAAGGGAAACCGAGUCUUAACUGGGCGUUAAGUUGCAGGGUAUAGACCCGAAACCCGGUGAUCUAGCCAUGGGCAGGUUGAAGGUUGGGUAACACUAACUGGAGGACCGAACCGACUAAUGUUGAAAAAUUAGCGGAUGACUUGUGGCUGGGGGUGAAAGGCCAAUCAAACCGGGAGAUAGCUGGUUCUCCCCGAAAGCUAUUUAGGUAGCGCCUCGUGAAUUCAUCUCCGGGGGUAGAGCACUGUUUCGGCAAGGGGGUCAUCCCGACUUACCAACCCGAUGCAAACUGCGAAUACCGGAGAAUGUUAUCACGGGAG
rnacentral:rRNA from 1 species